rnacentral:rRNA from 1 species
UACAGAGGUCUCAAGCGUUGUUCGGAUUCAUUGGGCGUAAAGGGUGCGUAGGUGGCGCCAUAAGUCAGGUGUGAAAUCUCGGGGCUCAACCCCGAAACUGCACUUGAUACUGUGGUGCUGGAGUACUGGGGAGGAGAUUGGAAUUUACGGUGUAGCAGUGAAAUGCGUAGAUAUCGUAAGGAAGACCAGUGGCGAAGGCGAAUCUCUGGACAGUUACUGACACUGAGGCACGAAGGCCAGGGGAGCGAACGGG